rnacentral:rRNA from 1 species
CCGGCGCACGGGUGCGUAACGCGUAUGCAACCUACCAUCAACAGGGGGAUAACACUGAGAAAUUGGUACUAAUACCCCAUAAUAUCUCAUGCGGCAUCGCAUGGGGUUGAAAACUCCGGUGGUUGAUGAUGGGCAUGCGUUGUAUUAGCUGGUUGGUGAGGUAACGGCUCACCAAGGCGACGAUACAUAGGGGGACUGAGAGGUUAACCCCCCACAUUGGUACUGAGACACGGGCCAAACUCCUACGGGAGGCAGCAG